rnacentral:rRNA from 1 species
AGCAGUCGCCGCGGGAAUACAGAGGGUGCGAGCGUUAAUCGGAUUUACUGGGCGUAAAGCGUGCGUAGGCGGCUUUUUAAGUCGGAUGUGAAAUCCCUGAGCUUAACUUAGGAAUUGCAUUCGAUACUGGGAAGCUAGAGUAUGGGAGAGGAUGGUAGAAUUCCAGGUGUAGCGGUGAAAUGCGUAGAGAUCUGGAGGAAUACCGAUGGCGAAGGCAGCCAUCUGGCCUAAUACUGACGCUGAGGUACGAAAGCAUGGGGAGCAAACAGGAUUAGAUACCCCGGUAGUCCCUGUCUCUUAUAU